GACGAACGCUGGCGGCGUGCCUAAUACAUGCAAGUAGAACGCUGAAGAGAGGAGCUUACUCUUCUUGGAUGAGUUGCGAACGGGUGAGUAACGCGUAGGUAACCUGCCUUGUAGCGGGGGAUAACUAUUGGAAACGAUAGCUAAUACCGCAUAACAAUGGAUGACACAUGUCAUUUAUUUGAAAGGGGCAAUUGCUCCACUACAAGAUGGACCUGCGUUGUAUUAGCUAGUAGGUGAGGUAAUGGCUCACCUAGGCGACGAUACAUAGCCGACCUGAGAGGGUGAUCGGCCACACUGGGACUGAGACACGGCCCAGACUCCUACGGGAGGCAGCAGUAGGGAAUCUUCGGCAAUGGGGGCAACCCUGACCGAGCAACGCCGCGUGAGUGAAGAAGGUUUUCGGAUCGUAAAGCUCUGUUGUAAGUCAAGAACGGGUGUGAGAGUGGAAAGUUCACACUGUGACGGUAGCUUACCAGAAAGGGACGGCUAACCACGUG
rnacentral:rRNA from 1 species